UUCUGCUUGCGCAGUCAGUCUCUGCAGAGUUCCCGGCAUUACCCGAUGGCAACAGCAGAUAGGGGUUGCGCUCGUUGCCGGACUUAACCGAACACCUCACGGCACGAGCUGACGACAGCCAUGCAGCACCUCGACUAGCGGCUCUUGAUGUAAUCUCAAGCACCCGAACUUUCAUCCGGUAGCACUAGCCGUUCGAGCCCAGGUAAGGUUCUUCGCGUUGCGUCGAAUUGAACCACAUGCUCCACCGCUUGUGCGGGCCCCCGUCAAUUCCUUUGAGUUUCAAUCUUGCGAUCGUACUCCCCAGGCGGGAUACUUAAUGCGUUAGCUUCGGCACAACCACCACUGCGGUGGUCACACCAAGUAUCCAUGGUUUAGGGCGUGGACUAC
rnacentral:misc_RNA from 1 species